CAGCAGCCACGGUAAUACGUAGGUCCCGAGCGUUGUCCGGAUUUAUUGGGCGUAAAGCGAGCGCAGGCGGUUAGAUAAGUCUGAAGUUAAAGGCUGUGGCUUAACCAUAGUACGCUUUGGAAACUGUUUAACUUGAGUGCAAGAGGGGAGAGUGGAAUUCCAUGUGUAGCGGUGAAAUGCGUAGAUAUAUGGAGGAACACCGGUGGCGAAAGCGGCUCUCUGGCUUGUAACUGACGCUGAGGCUCGAAAGCGUGGGGCGCAAACAGGAUUAGAUACCCCUGUAGUCCCUGUCUCUUAUACA
rnacentral:rRNA from 1 species